ACACCGGCGGCCCGAGUGGUGAUCGUGAUUAUUGGGUCUAAAGGGUCCGUAGCCGGUUUGGUCAGUCCUCCGGGAAAUCUGACAGCUCAACUGUUAGGCUUUCGGAGGAUACUGCCAGACUUGGAACCGGGAGAGGUAAGAGGUACUACAGGGGUAGGAGUGAAAUCUUGUAAUCCCUGUGGGACCACCUGUGGCGAAGGCGUCUUACCAGAACGGGUUCGACGGUGAGUAACGAAAGCCAGGGGCGC
rnacentral:rRNA from 1 species